rnacentral:tRNA from 1 species
CGAGACAUAGCAUAUACAAUGCUUUUUAUUUACACUAAAAAUAAAACAAAAGUUUGUCCCGCUU